UCAUGGAUACACAACGAUUUGAGAAAAGAAGAUCAUUACAGAUAAGCAAACUAUUGAUUCCAGCUUAAUUUGUCUGUUCAUUAUUGAUAUUUGGGCAACACUGACAAGGCAAUAUUCAUUUGCUUGGCAGGAUUGGCUAGAGCAGGAGGAAGAGCACCACAUGGCACUGUAGCUGACUGUGAGCAGAGGAGCUGAGGAUUGAAGAGGAAUGAAUAGCAUUUGAAAGUAAAGAUUCUAUGACACAAUAAAGACAACAAGGAACUUUUUCACCAGCCUUGCUGACAAUUUACUCCACCCACACAACCAAAAAAAAACCCAGUCAACAGAUGUCAUGGAACACAGGACAUAGGGAGAAGAAUAGACCAUUCAGUCCAUCAACCUGUUCCAACAUUGAAUACCAUCAUGGCUGACUGGACACUCAAUGUCUUUUACCCACAUCAAUCCCAUGAUCCCUUUUGCCACUGAAAAUCAAAAAUGCAUCAACUGCCACUUUAAAUUUUCUCCAAGAAUCAUGAGUGGUAUAGAUAAGCUGGUGUCUUUUCCCGAGGCUGGGGAUUUCAAGACUAGCGGGCAUAUUUU